rnacentral:rRNA from 1 species
AUUGAACGCUGGCGGCAGGCCUAAUACAUGCAAGUAGAACGAGUGGCGGACGGGUGAGUAAUGUCUGGGAAACUGCCUGAUGGAGGGGGAUAACUACUGGAAACGGUAGCUAAUACCGCAUACUAUCGGAUGUGCCCAGAUGGGAUUAGCUAGUAGGUGGGGUAAAGGCUCACCUAGGCGACGAUCCCUAGCUGGUCUGAGAGGAUGACCAGCCACACUGGAACUGAGACACGGUCCAGACUCCUACGGGAGGCAGCAUUGGGGAAUAUUGGACAAGGGGGGCAAGCCUGAUGCAGCCAUGCCGCGUGUAUGAAGAAGGCCUUCGGGUUGUAAAGCACGUUCAGCGAGGAGGCGUUACUCACAGAAGAAGCACCGGCUAACUCCGUGCCAGCAGCCGCGGUAAUUC